UGGGGAAUCUUCCGCAAUGGACGAAAGUCUGACGGAGCAACGCCGCGUGUAUGACGAAGGCCUUCGGGUUGUAAAGUACUGUCUUUGGGGACGAACGGUAUCUAUGUAAAUAAUGCAGAUACAUGACGGUACCCAAGGAGGAAGCCCCGGCUAACUACGUGCCAGCAGCCGCGGUAAUACGUAGGGGGCGAGCGUUGUCCGGAAUCAUUGGGCGUAAAGGGCGCGUAGGCGGGUCAUUAAGUCUGGUGUGAAAGGCAGGGGCUCAACCCCUGGAAGGCACCGGAACUGGUUAUCUUGAGGACAGGAGAGGAAAGCGGAAUUCCACGUGUAGCGGUGAAAUGCGUAGAUAUGUGGAGGAACACCAGUGGCGAAGGCGGCUUUCUGGACUGUAACUGACGCUGAGGCGCGAAAGCGU
rnacentral:rRNA from 1 species